UACGUAGGGGGCAAGCGUUGUUCGGAUUCAUUGGGCGUAAAGGGUGCGUAGGUGGCGUGGUAAGUCUGGUGUGAAAUCCCGGGGCUCAACCCCGGAACUGCACUGGAUACUGCCAUGCUUGAGUACUGGAGAGGAGAUUGGAAUUUACGGUGUAGCAGUGAAAUGCGUAGAUAUCGUAAGGAAGACCAGUGGCGAAGGCGAAUCUCUGGACAGUUACUGACACUGAGGCACGAAGGCCAGGGGAGCAAACGGG
rnacentral:rRNA from 1 species